UGUGCUCUGCAGUGUGAGGUAGUUGGUUGUAUGGUUUCGCAUAAUAAACAGCACGGAGAUAACUGUACAACCUUCUAGCUUUCCCUGCGGAGUCAC
ensembl:miRNA mirlet7d-2 microRNA let7d-2